rnacentral:rRNA from 1 species
UACGAAGGGGGCUAGCGUUGCUCGGAAUCACUGGGCGUAAAGCGCACGUAGGCGGACUCUUAAGUCGGUGGUGAAAUCCUGGAGCUCAACUCCAGAACUGCCUUCGAUACUGGGAGUCUCGAGUCCGAGAGAGGUGAGUGGAACUGCGAGUGUAGAGGUGAAAUGUAGAUAUUGGAAGAACACCAGUGGCGAAGGCGGCUCACUGGCUCGGUACUGACGCUGAGGUGCGAAAGCGUGGGGAGCAAACAGG